AGCAGCCGCGGUAACACCGGCAGCUCUAGUGGUAACAAUUUAUUGGCCGUAAAGCGUCCGUAGCCGGUUAAUAAGUCUCUGGUGAAAUCCUGUAGCUUAACUGUGGGAAUGCUGGAGAUACUAUUAGACUUGAGACCGGGAGAGGUUAGAGGUACUCCCAGGGUAGAGGUGAAAUUCUGUAAUCCUGGGAGGACCGCCUGUUGCGAAGGCGUCUAACUGGAACGGUUCUGACGGUGAGGGACGAAAGUUAGGGGCGCGAACCGGAUUAGAUACCCGGGUAGUCCUAACUGUAAACGAUGCGGACUUGGUGUUGGGGUGGCUUUGAGCUGCUCCAGUGCCGAAGGGAAGCUGUUAAGUCCGCCGCCUGGGAAGUACGGUCGCAAGACUGAAACUUAAGGAAUUGGCGGGGGAGCACCACAACGCGUGGAGCCUGCCGGUUUAAUUGGAUUCAACGCCGGACAUCUCACCAGAGGCGACAGCUGUAUGAUAGCCAGGUUGAUGACUUUGCUUGACUAGCUGAGAGGUGGUGCAUGG
rnacentral:rRNA from 1 species